UACGGAGGGUGCGAGCGUUGUCCGGAAUCACUGGGCGUAAAGAGCUCGUAGGCGGUUUGUCACGUCUGCUGUGAAAUCCCGAGGCUCAACCUCGGGCCUGCAGUGGGUACGGGCAGACUGGAGUGCGGUAGGGGAGAAUGGAAUUCCUGGUGUAGCGGUGGAAUGCGCAGAUAUCAGGAGGAACACCGAUGGCGAAGGCAGUUCUCUGGGCCGUAACUGACGCUGAGGAGCGAAAGCGUGGGGAGCGAACAGG
rnacentral:rRNA from 1 species